rnacentral:rRNA from 1 species
UACGGAGGGUGCAAGCGUCAAUCGGAAUUACUGGGCGUAAAGCGCACGCAGGCGGUCUGUUAAGUCAGAUGUGAAAUCCCCGGGCUUAACCUGGGAACUGCAUUUGAAACUGGCAGGCUUGAGUCUUGUAGAGGGGGGUAGAAUUCCAGGUGUAGCGGUGAAAUGCGUAGAGAUCUGGAGGAAUACCGGUGGCGAAGGCGGCCCCCUGGACAAAGACUGACGCUCAGGUGCGAAAGCGUGGGGAGCAAACAGG